rnacentral:piRNA from 1 species
UGAAACAACAGGUAAAGCUUACUGGAAGCCCU